AGGAUUGUAGUUCAAUCGGUCAGAGCACCGCCCUGUCAAGACGGAAGCUGCGGGUUCGAGCCCCAUCAAUCUCA
rnacentral:tRNA from 1 species